AGAGGCAGGCAGGCCUCCUUGAGCUGUGGUGGGCUCCACCCAGUUGGAGCUUCCCUGCUGCUUUGUUUACCUAAGCAAGCCUGGGCAAUGGCGGGCGCCCCUCCCCCAGCCUAGCUGCCGCUUGCAGUUUGAUCUCAGACUGCUGUGCUAGCAAUCAGCGAGACUCCGUGGGUGUAGGACCCUCCGAGCCAGGUGUAGGAUAUAAUCUCGUGGUGCGCCGUUUUUUAAGCCCAUCAGAAAAGCGCAGUAUUCGGGUGGGAGUGACCCGACUUUCCAGGUGCCGUCCAUCACCCCUUUCUUUGACUCGGAAAGGGAACUCCCUGACCCCUUGCGCUUCCCGAGUGAGGCAAUGCCUCGCCCUGCUUCGACUCGCGCAUGGUGCGCGCACGCACUGACCUGCGCCCACUGUCUGGCACUCCCUAGUGAGAUGAACCCGGUACCUCAGAUGGAAAUGCAGAAAUCACCAGUCUUCUGCGUCGCUCACGCUGGGAGCUGUAGACCGGAGCUGUUCCUAUUCGGCCAUCUUGUCUCCUCCCGUGAACUGGAAAUUCCCUGUCUCCCCUUAACCAGCACUGGAAGCAGAUGGGAAGAGAAUAGCUGUGACUGACUCACACUCUAACCCAGCAACCCUCAGCAUACAAGUGGGAGACCAUAAAGUUUUUCAAGACCCCAAAAGAGGCCAAAGGUCUGAUAAUUGCUGGGAGAAGGUCCACUAUCCAAGAAGAGAAGAGGAAAAGGAAUUAAAGUCUCCAAGCACUGGGGAUGCAAGAAGAGAGUUGCACAGGAGAGAAAGAAGAAGUUGUCCACGGGGUGACCCUGCAAUUGGAGGGAAAUGCAUGUGGAUAUGUGCAGGGAGUCUAGGAAGUGAAGCCUUAGUGAUCAUUUACAAGAAUGAGGGUUAGGUAAAAUAAGGGAUGCAAAGCCACCUGUAGUCUAUUCUAACCUCACUCCAUCACUCUAUACAAUCUGUGUUUUAUCAUCUGAAAUGUUAAGUAAAGACCUGUUUGGGUCUUCUUCAGAAUCCCAUACAUUUGAGUUCAUUAGUCAGAAAAAGGGAAAAUACCACCACCCCAUCCUGGAAUGGCAGUCAUGUACACUUUUAUAAUGAGAGAUUGGGCAGCAAAGGGGGCCCCUUGUGGACCUCACCCAGCCAGAGAAGGAGGCAGAAUGUUUCCUUUACUAUCUUUUCCUCUCCCCAGAGGAACACUACAUAUUGUUCCCUCCAUGGGCUUAAGAGAAGGUGCCAGGGUUACAGAUAGAUAUAUCGCUAGCUGUAGAGCACAGGGUGAAUUGGGAUGUCCAUGUACAAAGCUAGGGACAGGAGAAUCAGUUUAAAGACUUUAAAAAUAAUUAGGAAAAAAAGGAAGGCCUGACCCAAAGCUUAGGAGUGCAGGUAGAGAAGAGAUGGUGCCAUGAUAUACCAUGUCUCUGGGACUUUUCUGUAUUCCUCUUCCUCUGUAUACUGUAUUGCCCUCAUUCCCUAUUUAUUCAAAAUCUGUGCUACCUCCACUGCGAAGACUUCCACGAGAAAAUUCAGAUAUUUCUUCUUUUGUGGACACUUUCUACCUUACAAAUAAGUUAAUUUUAAUUCAAGGAAGAGUUUUUCCGGAACCCUGUUGGCCUGCUCACAGGAAUGUAAGUUCCUUAAAUCUAGGGCACAGUGUCUUUGAGAACUGCAAUCACCUACAUCAACAUGACAUAGCUAUUAGGACUAAGAACAGAGACCACCUGUGUCAACAUGAGUUACUAUUUUUUUCCGUGAAACAUUUGUCCAAGAAAGAUAAGACUGUAACCAAUAAAUAGUUUGCAAGUAAUUCCUGCAAAUCA
ensembl:lncRNA LINC00491 long intergenic non-protein coding RNA 491